rnacentral:rRNA from 1 species
UACGGAGGGGGCAAGUGUUACUCAUCAUGACUAGGCGUAAAGGGUGUUAAGAUGGCUAACGAUUGUUCUAACGGAAAAGUCAAUUGAAAUAUUGAAAAAAGUUAAAUAAACAAGUUAGCUAGAGUAGAUUGGAGAACAGAAUUACUAGUUUUUAAGGGGUAGAAUCCAACAAGAAGAUUAGGAGGAACAAAGGCGAAGGCACCUGUUUAUGAUCGACUGACAUUGAUACACAAAAGCGUGGGGAGCAAACAGG